rnacentral:lncRNA from 1 species
GUUUUACAUUAAGGAAUUGCUUUGCCAAUUAACUUACAGAGCUGACAUUUUUUUUCCAUAAAUUAAAUGAGUUAAGUCUGAGCUCCAAGGUUUUGGCCAGGAAAAAUGGAGGUGCUCGUUCAAUGACCCAGAACUGCAGUGUGCCAUAUGACAGGUACAAGUACAUGGGCCCGCAGAGUCCUUGACCCGUGGCUAGUCCAAACUGGGCUGUGCUGAAGUUGUAAACCACACAGAUCCCAAAAACUUAGUAUGAAAAAAAGAGAAUGAGGUCUCUCAGUGAUGUUUUUACAUCGGCUGCCUGUUGAAAUGAUCGUGUUAUGAACAUCUUGAGUGAAAUGAGAUACACUAUUAAGAUCAAUCUCACUGUUCCUCUUUUACUCUUUCAGUUGUGGCCCUAGAACAUUUGAAAUGGCGCUUGAUGCUUUCAUUGCAUUCCCAUUGGACACUGCUGCUUCAGAAAAUAUGUCCCUCGGAACAAAAUAGACACAAGACAGAGCUUUUAGAUGUCGAUUUAAAAGGUCACAUGGUCUACGGUUUUAAAACGGUGGUUCUGGAGCCUCCAGCGCGUGCCCAGUGCGGAGGAGAAGUCACUUGGCCACACCCCUUUCUCUUGAUCACUCAAGGUCAGGAAGAAAGUGUGGGUCCCGGAAAGGGCGCUGGCUGAGAGGCAGGAGGGUGGGGUUGAUCCCUUUCCAGCUACUGACUUGCUGAGGAGCCCUCGAGGGUCACGGUGAGAUGCCAUGGCCUCAGUGUGUCCCCCUAACAUUCCUACGUUGCAAUCCUAACCUCCAAGUGCUGGUGUCGGGUGGGCCUUGCGGGGCGGGGGGGGGGUGACUGGACAGGAGGAUGGAGACCCCUCUGUCUCUCACACUCCCACCACAGUCUGUUAAUGACUUGUCAGCUCUCUCUUCCGCGUCUACCCACGGUUCUCACCAGUCCUCCAG